rnacentral:rRNA from 1 species
UACAGAGGGUGCGAGCGUUAAUCGGAAUUACUGGGCGUAAAGCGCGCGUAGGUGGUUCAGUAAGUUGGAAGUGAAAUCCCCGGGCUCAACCUGGGAACUGCUUUCAAAACUGCUGAGCUAGAGUACGGUAGAGGGUGGUGGAAUUUCCUGUGUAGCGGUGAAAUGCGUAGAUAUAGGAAGGAACACCAGUGGCGAAGGCGACCACCUGGACUGAUACUGACACUGAGGUGCGAAAGCGUGGGGAGCAAACAGG